rnacentral:rRNA from 1 species
AGUGAACGCUGGCGGUAGGCCUAACACAUGCAAGUCGAACGGCAGCACAGUAAGAGCUUGCUCUUACGGGUGGCGAGUGGCGGACGGGUGAGGAAUACAUCGGAAUCUACUUUUUCGUGGGGGAUAACGUAGGGAAACUUACGCUAAUACCGCAUACGACCUACGGGUGAAAGCAGGGGAUCUUCGGACCUUGCGCGAUUGAAUGAGCCGAUGUCGGAUUAGCUAGUUGGCGGGGUAAAGGCCCACCAAGGCGACGAUCCGUAGCUGGUCUGAGAGGAUGAUCGGCCAAACUGGAACUGAGACACGGUCCAAACCCCUAGGGGAGGCAGGAGUGGGGAAUAUUGGAAAAUGGGCGCAAGCCUGAUCCAGCCAUACCGGGGGGGUGAAGAAGGCCUUCGGGUUGUAAAGCCCUUUUUUUGGGAAAAAAAAGCAGCAGGUUAAUACCCCGCUGUUCUGACGGUACCCAAAGAAUAAGCACCGGCUAACUUCGU